rnacentral:misc_RNA from 1 species
GUAGGUGAACCUGCGGAAGGAUCAUUAUAGAAUUGGUUGCUCGCAACCUUCACUAUAACAUACUGUUCACGUUCCUGUUGCUUCCCUAACAUUAGGAGGCUUUUCCUUAUGGAAUUGUUUCUGUUAGGGAACCUUGUCAAACAUAUUGUGUAUUUAUUCUGAAUCUACCCAUGAAAAUGGAUAUUAAAACUUUCAACAACGGAUCUCUAGGCUCUU